CGCUGAACUUAAGCAUAUCAAUAAGCGGAGGAAAAGAAACCAACAGGGAUUGCCUCAGUAACGGCGAGUGAAGCGGCAACAGCUCAAAUUUGAAAUCUGGUCCUCCACAGGGGCCCGAGUUGUAAUUUGUAGAGGAGGUCUUCGGGUUUGGCCCCGGCCUAAGUUCCUUGGAACAGGACGUCACAGAGGGUGAGAAUCCCGUAUGUGGCUGGAGGUCUAUGCCCAUGUGAAGCUCCUUCGACGAGUCGAGUUGUUUGGGAAUGCAGCUCAAAAUGGGUGGUAAGUUUCAUCUAAAGCUAAAUACCGGCGGGAGACCGAUAGCGCACAAGUAGAGUGAUCGAAAGAUGAAAAGCACUUUGGAAAGAGAGUUAAAAAGUACGUGAAAUUGUUGAAAGGGAAGCGCUUGCGACCAGACUUGCCCUCAGCUGAUCAAUCGGUGUUCAUCACCGGUGCACUCGGCUGUGGUCAGGCCAGCAUCGGUCUAGGUGGUUGGAGAAAGGUCCCGUGGAAUGUGGCUCCCCUCGGGGAGUGUUAUAGCCCGGGGUGCAAUGCAGCCAACCUGGACCGAGGAACGCGCCUUCGGGCUAGGAUGCUGGCGUAAUGGUCGUAAGCGACCCGUCUUGAAACACGGACC
rnacentral:rRNA from 1 species